UACGUAGGGUGCGAGCGUUAAUCGGAAUUACUGGGCGUAAAGCGCGCGUAGGUGGUUCGUUAAGUUGGAUGUGAAAGCCCCGGGCUCAACCUGGGAACUGCAUUCAAAACUGACGAGCUAGAGUAUGGUAGAGGGUGGUGGAAUUUCCUGUGUAGCGGUGAAAUGCGUAGAUAUAGGAAGGAACACCAGUGGCGAAGGCGACCACCUGGACUGAUACUGACACUGAGGUGCGAAAGCGUGGGGAGCAAACAGG
rnacentral:rRNA from 1 species